rnacentral:rRNA from 1 species
ACGGAAGGCAGCAGUGGGGAAUAUUGCACAAUGGGCGAAAGCCUGAUGCAGCGACGCCGCGUGAGUGAUGAAGUAUUUCGGUAUGUAAAGCUCUAUCAGCAGGGAAGAAAAAUGACGGUACCUGACUAAGAAGCACCGGCUAAAUGCGUGCCAGCAGCCGCGGUAAUACGUAUGGUGCAAGCGUUAUCCGGAUUUACUGGGUGUAAAGGGAACGCAGGCGGUACGGCAAGUCUGAUGUGAAAGCCCGGGGCUCAACCCCGGUACUGCAUUGGAAACUGUCGAACUAGAGUGUCGGAGGGGUAAGUGGAAUUCCUAGUGUAGCGGUGAAAUGCGUAGAUAUUAGGAGGAACACCAGUGGCGAAGGCGGCUUACUGGACGAUAACUGACGCUGAGGCUCGAAAGCGUGGGGAGCAAACAGGAUUAGAUACCCUGGUA